AAGACAAAUAUUUGGCUCAUUUCAUUUCCAAUCAUCCUGUGUUUAUUGACUCUUGUCCUCAAAAGAUUGUCGGACCAGAUAUGGGAUGAACCCGCUGAGUGUGGCUGUAGUAAAGAGGCAGGGUGUUACUAUGAAUUUGCUUUCAAUGGAGGUAUCCGUUGUGCGUUUCCUAACCCUCCAGAAUGGCCUCCAUUGUUUCAAAUACCUGCUCCUGAAUAUCGCGCUGUGAGAAGUGAGGUUGUUCCUUUUACAGAUUUGCCAGAUGAGUCAUGCAGGACCCAAGAGUCCUGCCCUGCAGCUCUACUUGUCACAGGAAAUAAUCAAACACUUGGCUCAAUUUUGGCUGGGAAUAGAUCCCCAGGGCUUUCAGUCGAAAGUCUUUAGCAGAUGAUGCUUUUGGCUCAGAAUUUUCACCAGGCUAUUCCAAUUUUGAAGAUCCUGCUUUUACUUUGGAUCCCUUCAUCUAUUGCGACUAGGUGUAGAUUCUUUCUUUGACUUGCAAUAACGGUCAUAAAGCUGGAAACUGUCCCGCCAAAAUUGAAGCUUUGGAGCAGUUAAACUGACAUCCGUUUAUCAAUUCCCUUCUUGGUUGACAGUUGAUUGAUAAAGGCACUUCACCAGAACAGCUUACAUGGAUCCAUUCCUAAUGAAAUUACCAAUUGUCCUGAGCUUAGGGCUCUGUAAAUGGAAACGUUUCCUUCUCAUUUCUAUAUCUCCUUUGAGUUCCCAUCUACUUAUGUUAUAUGUCACUAGAAUUGAGCAUUACAUUCCCCUUUUCUUCUACCU